rnacentral:rRNA from 1 species
UACGGAGGGUGCGAGCGUUGUCCGGAAUCAUUGGGCGUAAAGGGCGCGUAGGUGGCCUGGUAAGUCUGUGGUGAAAGCGCGGGGCUCAACCCUGCGUCGGCCGUGGAUACUGCUAGGCUUGAGCACUGUAGAGGCAGGCGGAAUUCCGGGUGUAGCGGUGGAAUGCGUAGAGAUCCGGAAGAACACCAGGGGCGAAGGCGGCCUGCUGGGCAGAUGCUGACACUGAGGCGCGACAGCGUGGGGAGCAAACAGG